GUACCAGCAGAGGAGAACAACUCCACCAUGAUGUCUAAUAUUGUGUUGCUGCUUCUUUCAAUAACAGUUGCAGGUUGCGUGCCAGUUGCACUGAAGCCCGCCUUUGCGAAUUUCACAUCUAAAAAUAUGAUGACUGCGAUUGUGUGGGAACCAGCAAGUGGAAGCAGCAAUGAGACAUUGUACCAGGUGGAGUUUAAAGAAUAUGGAACUUCAAAGUGGACAACAAAAAAGGAAUGUUGGAACACCUCCACAACAUUCUGUGACAUCACAAUGAACGUGAAGCAUCUGAUGAACAAACUGUGUGGGCGUGUCAGAGCAGUUACACCCAGGUCUUCGUCUGAUUGGGUGUCAGCAAAAAUGUCCAUUCCACUGA